rnacentral:rRNA from 1 species
GACGAACGCUGGCGGCGUGCUUAACACAUGCAAGUCGAACGGUAAGGCCCUUCGGGUACGACGAGUGGCGAACGGGUGGAGUAACACGUGGGUGAUCUGCCCUGCACUUCGGGAUAAGCUUGGGAAACUGGGUCUAAUACCGGAUAGGACCACGGUCUGCAUGGAUUGUGGUGGAAAAGCUUUUGCGGUGUGGGAUGGGCCCGCGGCCUAUCAGCUUGUUGGUGGGGUGAUGGCCUACCAAGGCGACGACGGGUAGCCGGCCUGAGAGGGUGUCCGGCCACACUGGGACUGAGAUACGGCCCAGACUCCUACGGGAGGCAGCAGUGGGGAAUAUUGCACAAUGGGCGCAAGCCUGAUGCAGCGACGCCGCGU